UCGUACUGAGAAAACAGAACUAAAUUUGUGCAUCUGGUUACCCAGUUAGCGACUACAUUUAAUUUUAGCGAACAUUAACCUUAAGCACCUGGCAGGCACAAGAGAGCAUUUUCAGGUACUUCAUUGAGAUUAACCCUGAGAGGGGAACAGAGACCAACUGGGGAGAGUAAUGCUUAAGAAGACAAACAAGCUCACAGUGAAUCCUCAUUAUCACUCUUGUGAAGAACUGAAUGUCACUUCAUAAAGUGAGCUGUGAUCUUGUCGCCUGGAUGCUGACCUUCUGCCAAUUAUAACAGAGGACAUUUGAAGGCAUUACAAAUUGCGUAUCCUGCAAUCUGUUUAUUUGUGCUUUUAUUUUUUUUUUUAAACAGUAGUUUGCAAAGCAGUUGCUGUUCAAACUCACGACUAAAUUUUGCUAACAGAUUUACAUUGACCCCCUUUGAAAGGGCAUGAACCUUUAAAAUUAUUUUUUUCAAACACACAUACUUGAAU